rnacentral:pre_miRNA from 13 species
GUUUACUUCUAGCAACACUAUCCUGAUGCUGUCAGAGUAAGUGACAAAGCUCCAGCAUCAGUGAUUUUGUUGUUAGUGGUA